rnacentral:rRNA from 1 species
GACGAACGCUGGCGGCGUGCCUAAUACAUGCAAGUAGAACGCUGAAGAGAGGAGCUUGCUCUUCUUGGAUGAGUUGCGAACGGGUGAGUAACGCGUAGGUAACCUGCCUGGUAGCGGGGGAUAACUAUUGGAAACGAUAGCUAAUACCGCAUAAAAUGGAUUAUCGCAUGAUAAUCCAUUGAAAGGUGCAAAUGCAUCACUACCAGAUGGACCUGCGUUGUAUUAGCUAGUUGGUGGGGUAACGGCUCACCAAGGCGACGAUACAUAGCCGACCUGAGAGGGUGAUCGGCCCCACUGGGACUGAGACACGGCCCAGACUCCUACGGGAGGCAGCAGUAGGGAAUCUUCGGCGAUGGACGGAAGUCUGACCGAGCAACGCCGCGUGAGUGAAGAAGGUUUUCGGAUCGUAAAGCUCUGUUGUAAGAGAAGAACGAGUGUGAGAGUGGAAAGUUCACACUGUGACGGUAUCUUACCAGAAAGGGACGGCUAACUACGUG